UUGAGCAAGAUAUCCUCACCUUGCUUUGAUACAUUGACUUGUAGGACGGACUAAGUGUCCAGGAGAAUGCAGAUAUGUCAAUGAGAGAUGCAUCACUCAUCAAAAUGAUGCUAAAUCUGUAUUUAGCAGAUGAGAGGAUCUUCCAUAGUGUCAAAUGGCAAAUCGAUUAACAGAAGUCAUGUCAUGAUGUGCACUAGUACUACAGUAGCUCCCUUCUAGUACUGUUUUUGGGGGGUCAAAAAGUGAACAUUUCAGAAUGAGAGGGCAUAAAAGGGAAAUAUAAUGGAUGAUUCCAUUUUUAAAUAUACGAUAAGAGUAAAUGAAAGCUGUCCUUCAUAAGAGGUAGCUCGGCCCCAGGGAUAUUUUUAACUUUCCAGUGUUGCACUGCUGUCUGGUUUUAAUAGCUGUCAUGAGUUUUGAUGUUCAGAGGAAGUGAGGUCUACAGAGUAAACAUGUGAACAGGAACCUGGAAAGUUAAACGAUGGUGGGCGGCUAGAUUCACUUCCAUUUUUCUGUGAAGAGUUAUUUAAAAAAAGAAAGAAACGAAACAGUGACGAACCCAGGUUUUCCUUAUGGGAAUACAGGUUCUUCAGCUAUUGCUCAUUGCUAAGCUUCUCACACAUGACUGACUUUCCUUCCUGUUUGAAAUAUGUUAAGAUGAUUAGAUUCAGUAUCAUGAUUCUUGGGCCAGCUCUUUCCUGAAACAAGACUUCUUUCACUGUCUACUCCAGGAUUCUGAGGAAGCAGGAUUUAGAAUAGAAUUUGACCUUUGGGCUUUUCCCCUUAAUUAAAAGACUAUGUGCAUGUUAAUAUCCUUAACAGUUAUCUGUUCUCUUUUGCUGUUUGACUAAGUGUUUUUUUAGUUGUGUUAAUUUUCUGUCCAUUAACAAAAGAUUCUGUUACAUGGGAAGCAUCUUUCUUAGUUGAUCAUUUCAAACCAAUUAAGAGUUCAGACACGGGAGCUCUGAACUACCAGUUUUGCUGUGAUUGUAAUUUUGAACAUUCUUCAAAAACACUCUGACAAAAAGUAAAAUAAUAAUGAAUCCAGUAAAGCUGAGAUUGAUAUGCAUGACACUUUUGUCUCUGUAUCUUUUAGGUUGGAGUCACAGAAGAGCUGUUUCAAUUAUAAUACCAAUUAUAUUACUUCUUGUUGCUGGAGCAAUAAUGGUGUAUCUGCUAAAAAAUGGUCAUCUAAGAAAGUUAUAUGAAACGAAAUGUCGUCACCAUCAUGAGCACCUUGAGCCAGCAGAUCACUUUUUGCCAGAAACUCCUGAUACCGACGCCCGCUCACCUGUUCAGGAGGACCUUCCACAGAGUCCACAGAUGACAGAAAACCACAGGCUUGUGGCUCAGGAGCAAGGCAAGGAUGCAAAUCUGUCUCAGCAGGUUUCACAGAACACUCAAUGUUGAAAAAAGAACAUCUGUAUGGAAUGACAUUGAAUCCCGAGAUGAGAGUGAAAUGCACCUUUUCAUCUGUGCUGUGUGUGGGAUGUAUUUGUGGACUGCACAAAUAUAUGGCUGAAGAUAAUCUAUCCUACCAUGCAAGGUGUACUGUAAGUCUGAAUCUCUGUUUUAGGGGAACAGGUUGCAAGCAUUAAUUGUAGUUUUGGGGGGAUAUCCUACAUUUUUAGGGUGGAUCAACAUUCAUUUUGAAAGUUCAAUGAAUGUCUGAGAGGAUGGAGGAAUAAAGACCCACAAAACCUAAUUUUACCUGUAGCAGUAUUUUGUAAAUGCCACAGAAAAUACUGUGUACCCUUGUAAAAGAAAAGAGUCUGAAGGCAUAUUGGCUUGUGUUUAGUUCUCAAGAUACCCUUCCUUUAUCUGUUCACAUUAGCCGUUUACACUACUGCUUGCAUGCUUGCAUGUAAUAUGGCAUAGACUUUUUUGUUCAGUGGCUAGUGGUUGUUGCAUAGAAAAUGAGUGAACACUAGCAGAAUAAGAAUCUCGUAAUAACUGAACCACAUUGCUGUGGCGUUGCAUCCGAAUUCAGUAAGACUCAUUUCAAGCUAGCAAGGCUUGGUGGAAUGUAAAACAUCGAACUGGGAAGAAUGUAACAAAAAAUUGUAAAAAACAAAUAAAAUGUUGUUGGAUGGCAACAUUAUGUAAUGUGUUUAAAGCUUUUGUAAUAGCUUUGACAUAAUCUAUCGGACUUGCUUUCCAGACCAAUCUGGGCAAAAAGAGAACCUGAUGUUUUUCACUAUGUGAAAGAAAAUUCUUCAGAUGUUCAGAGAUUUGAUGAUGGAUUGCUUCUGAGUUUUUUCUAAUUUUCAUUCCACACAAAAUGGACAGCCCCAAUUAUAGUAAUAUAACCUGUAAAAUACAUACAUAACUUGUUUGUAAUUGAACAGGAUCUAAGGCAAAAAUGACUUUUGUUGUAUACCUAUGAAUAAAUGUUUAAUGAUUUAUUAUUCAAACUAUCAAGUAAGCUGGGCAGCUGUCAGUUUUUUUUCUGAAAAAAUAAUUAAGUUUUUUAAGUGCUCAGCAUAAUUACAGCAUUAGAAGGUCUUUAUUGAUAAAGCAACUGGUCCAGCACAGUUCAUCUGUGCAUUUUCAGGUAGUAUCAUAACUGUGUAGGUAUACACUUUUGUUGUUAAAAUUCUAUAACUGUUUUUGUGAAGUUGAGCUGUCAGAAGUGCACAACAGCUUUCUAGACAUUACAAUAGUGAACUCAGUUAUUGCUUUCUCAACAGUGCAUCCUUUGCUAUGGAUUCCAAAUCUUUUUGAUACUGACAGGUAGAAGAAGAAAUUAAAUGUGUUGAAUUCUGUGGACACGGCACAUUACUUCACCCAAGUACAGUACUUACUUUCAAUGUAUUACUGUAUUACUUCUUUUGUACAGCUAUUAGUGUUUUGUCUCAUCUAUGAAACAUUAAACGUUUAAAUCUA